rnacentral:rRNA from 1 species
AGAGUUUGAUCAUGGCUCAGAGCGAACGCUAGCGGCGGGCCUAACACAUGCAAGUCGAGCGGGGAGCAAUCCCAGCGGCGGACGGGUGAGUAACACGUAGGUAAUGUGCCUCAAGGUGGGGAAUAACACUCGGGAAACCGGUGCUAAUACCGCAUAUGUCGAGAGAUGAAAGCAGCAAUGCGCCAUGAGAGCAGCCUGCGUCCGAUUAUUUAUUCCUAGUUGGUGAGGUAAUGGCUCACCAAGGGUACGAUCGGUAGCUGGUCUGAGAGGAUGAUCAGCCACACUGGAACUGAGACACGGUCCAGACUCCUACGGGAGGCAGCAGUGGGGAAUAUUGCGCAAUGGGCGAAAGCUGACGCAGCCACGCCGUGUGAGUGAUGAAGGCU